GAUGAACGCUGGCGGCGUGCCUAAUACAUGCAAGUCGAGCGAACAGAUGAGGAGCUUGCUCCUUUGACGUUAGCGGCGGACGGGUGAGUUACACGUGGAUAACCUACCUAUAAGACUGGGAUAACUUCGGGAAACCGGAGCUAAUACCGGAUAACAUAUUGAACCGCAUGGUUCAAUAGUGAAAGACGGCUUUGCUGUCACUUAUAGAUGGAUCCGCGCCGUAUUAGCUAGUUGGUAAGGUAACGGCUUACCAAGGCAACGAUACGUAGCCGACCUGAGAGGGUGAUCGGCCACACUGGAACUGAGACACGGUCCAGACUCCUACGGGAGGCAGCAGUAGGGAAUCUUCCGCAAUGGGCGAAAGCCUGACGGAGCAACGCCGCGUGAGUGAUGAAGGUCUUCGGAUCGUAAAACUCUGUUAUCAGGGAAGAACAAAUGUGUAAGUAACUGUGCACAUCUUGACGGUACCUGAUCAGAAAGCCACGGCUAACUACGUG
rnacentral:rRNA from 1 species